rnacentral:rRNA from 1 species
UAAAAAUUAAAAACCUAAAUUAUUAGUAGUUAAAUUCUUGAAAAUUAAUAUAAAUGGCGGUAUUUUAGUCUAUUCAGAGGAAUCUGCCCUGUAAUUGAUAUUCCACGAUUUAAUUUACUUAGAGUUUUAGUUUACAUAUCGCUGUGGAUCGAAUAUUUUUAUUGAAAUUUAAUAUUCAAAAUUUUUAUUUAAAGGAUAUCAAGUCAAGAUGUAGCUUAUGUCUAAGAAGAGGUGGAUUACAGUAUUGUUAUAUGUGGUUAAUAUACUGAAAUGUUUAUUAUAAACUGGAUUUGAAAGUAAUUUGUUACCAAAAUUUUAUAAAUGAUUAUAGCUCUAAAAU